GGCGGCAUGCCUUACACAUGCAAGUCGAACGGCAGCGCGGGGCAACCUGGCGGCGAGUGGCGAACGGGUGAGUAAUAUAUCGGAACGUACCCUGGAGUGGGGGAUAACGUAGCGAAAGUUACGCUAAUACCGCAUACGAUCUAAGGAUGAAAGUGGGGGAUUCGCAAGAACCUCAUGCUCCUGGAGCGGCCGAUAUCUGAUUAGCUAGUUGGUGGGGUAAAGGCCUACCAAGGCAUCGAUCAGUAGCUGGUCUGAGAGGACGACCAGCCACACUGGAACUGAGACACGGUCCAGACUCCUACGGGAGGCAGCAGUGGGGAAUUUUGGACAAUGGGCGCAAGCCUGAUCCAGCAAUGCCGCGUGAGUGAAGAAGGCCUUCGGGUUGUAAAGCUCUUUUGUCAGGGAAGAAACGGUGAUUUCUAAUACAGAUUGCUAAUGACGGUACCUGAAGAAUAAGCACCGGCUAACUACGUGCCAGCAGCCGCGGUAAUACGUAGGGUGCAAGCGUUAAUCGGAAUUACUGGGCGU
rnacentral:rRNA from 1 species